CGGCCACUCACCAUGAUGGAGAAGACGAAGGCCACGAUGUUGAUGGGGUACGCGGGGCAGAAGCAGGAGAAGAUGCUGAGGGCCAGGGCAAGGUGAUUUUCCUCAAAAGUCUUUUCCAGUUAUCCCUAUCCUGGGCUGCUGUCUCCCAGUGUGGUGUCGAUGCCACAUCUCCUGAUGUUUAUCCUGAGGGUGUCUUUAAAAGUGUUUCUUUUGGCCUCCCUAUUUCCUUUGGUUUUCCAAUCCUUUAAUCAUUCUUGUGGCUCUUCUCUGAACCCUCUCCAAUUUAUCAGCAUCCUUCAAUUGUGGAAUCAAGAACUGAACACAGGAUUCCAGUAGCAGUCUCCCCAGUGCCAAAUCCAGAGCGUCAUACUGGGAGCUCGUGUUCAGCUAACUAUCCUCCAUGCCCCUCCAAGUAUUUUUCAGAGGCACUGCUUCCUAGGAUCAAGUU